AAUCACAUGUUGACCUUCUCUAUUUUCAACAUGGGCUGGAACACCCCUCUCUAGGCAACCCAGUGGUCUCCCUCUCCAGGGAGGCCACAGACUGAUGCUUAACUUAAUGGGGACACCCAACUGGCAGAGAAGCACUAUAGCCCAGAACACCUAGACUCAAGCAUCCUCUUACUUCAGCCUCAGAGUAGCUGGAACUACAGGUAUGCACCACCACAGCCUAUAAUCACAUCUUAUGUAUAGCUCAAUAUGCUAUUCACUUAAUUAUUUUAUACAUUUGAGCAUUUCUUUUUAAUAUUUUCAGAUUAUCUUUCCCAUUCACAUUUUCUGACUUAUUUCUUAACAAUUAUACUAAGGUCUUGAUAUCAGUUCACCCAUUUUAGACAUUAUUUUAGGCAUAGGUGAGCUUCAGCUAACUUCUAGGUCUCUUCCAAUAACAGCUAGAAAUGGCUCAAGACAGCACUGUGUAAGUGGCAAUAAAAUUAUUCUAGUUUUGCAGAUGUUUAGAUUUAUCUGUAUCAAAUUUGACUGUGAAUACAUGUCUCCAUGUAUAAUGAUCCAGAGCAAAAGGAUGAAAGCUGUUCUUAAAAGAAAAAAGAGAGAAGAUACUCUGAAUCUUUACUGUAAAUUAUACACUAUACAAAAUCAGUCCAAAUUGUUCAAACCCUUGGACACUCACAGUGUUAUUAUGCUCGCUGCUCAGAGAACUGUAUAAUUAUCCCAGUUAACAGCAAUUUGCUAGUGCAGAUCUCCUAAGAAGAGAUGCAAGACUUACAGAACUAAAAUAAGUACAGAUGUGGGUCCCUGUUUUUGUUCUCUUACUCUGAAUGUGAAAAACAACCUCUUAAUUCCAGGCUUUUUUCAUUUUCCUAGUUAAGAUAUUAAGUUGGAUGGUUCAAGGGGUUGUUUGGUAAAUAAGAAUUUCAACAGUGAGCUAAAUUCUCUUCAUAGGAAUAGACACAAAUUUUCCUUACCUAAUGAAGAAACUUUAUUUAGUCCAUUGUGUCUUUUUCCUUGCUCAGCAUGGGAAAACUCUUUUUGAAAAUGCUUUGGUUUAGGAUCUCACUUUAUUAUAAUGUAUCACAGUAUCAGAAAAUAAUGAGGAAAAAAACCAAACUGAUGAGAAAAUAUGUGAGAACUAGGGAAAUCUAAAGCCACAUCUCUACCUCUAAAAGGAAACCAAACUAAAGUGCUGCUUGAUUUAAAUAAUUUGGUUUUGAGUGAAAUCAAAAUGUAUACUACUAUUGUGGGUUACCCCAUCACUCUGGUUUUUUCACUGAUAGAAGAAUUGGGGUAUCCGGAAGAAAGCCAUUGUGGAGUAUAUAAAACCUUCUCCUGAGUACAUAAACCUCACUCUCCUAGCUGCUCCUCUGGGUCCUGUAAAUCAGUCUUUAUUCUUAAUUGUGUCAAUUAACAGUGCCCUGAGUAAGCCACAGGGGCAAAGCUGAGGAGUCGGAGAAGGAGGUGAGUAUGUGGCAAUUCUCUUGACAUAAUGGAGACUAACCUAAAUUACACACUUUAUUAUAAUGGCGUUACUAACCUAAAUAUCACUGCAGAUGAUUCAUUCCUACCAUAAUCAUGGGGGAAUCCUGCAAGGCAGCCUGAAAGAGAAUUGGCUGCUCAUUUUUUAUCAUUUGACUUGACACAUUCUGCCUUAAAUAUAAUAGCAAGUUAAGAGUGUGUGGCAUUUGUAAUCCAUCUCCAAAGAGUUGCUCUUUUAAAUUCAGCUUGGGCCAAUAUGACGAAAAAUCAUGAACAUUUAAGCAUAGUUAAAAGAGGAUUGUUAGGAAAGGGGCUGUUUUUACCCUGAGCAUAUUUCUCAGUUAGUUACUCUGUGGUAACUAGAGCUAAUAGGACAGUUCUCCAUGGGCAAAAUGAAUCUGAGAGUUUGAAGCAGUGACCUAGAUAAUCCAGGCAAACUGCCCACUUUUGCCUGGAGUGUCAGGAAAAUUGCUCUAAUUCCCCACUUCACUUUGAUAGUAGAAGCCUAGUCAGUUUUCUUCAGUGUCCUAUUAAGCUCUGAGCUCCUCUUCUUAGCCUAUAGGAUGGGGCUGAGUGUGUCAGUUGGAGCUCAUUUUCUGUAGGUCUGGCUUUGAUUGCUAUUGAACUGGAUGGCACUGAAAUAAUAAUUCUCUUGAUCUCAGAGGAGCUGGAUGGUCAUGCUAUACCAUCCAAUCAUUCCUGUGUCAUUUAAAAUGAUGCUGGGUGAAUAGCAAUAACUGAAUGCUUCAAUCCUGGUCACUCUUUGUUAUUUCAUCCACUCCACAGAUAUUUAUUAAGUGCGUAUUACAUCCCUGUUAGAAUCUGGUAUGUACGUGGCUAUAGCAGAAAUUGGUCAUUUCUAUUGCCCACCAGACCCUAAACAUCUUCCUUGUGUUUGGGAAAUUCUCUCAUUUGUUUGCUCCCUACUACUCUCUGGGGAAGACAUUUACUCACUUUUCUAGCCUCACGUUUCAGGGAUGAUACAAGCUAGAUUUCGAAGAGGAAGCCAGUGAAACAAAAAAUCAGGCAUUGUGUGUAUGGUGGCAGCUCUAAGCUCCAGAAUGCAUAGGGUUGAGUAAGCACCUCUAAGUACUCAAUAUUCUCAGUGUUGGCAGUAGAGGCUGAAGGGUCUGUGCUAGGGGACCAGCAGUGAUAUCUCUACUGAACUAGUUCCACUCUAUGAUCUUGGACAUUGGUCUUGGCUGUGCAGCCUUUAUGCCUAUUCUGUAUGCCCCAAGGGAUCUGUAAACUGCCCAAUAAACUUUACAACUUUUUUUUUUUCUGAAUAAAACUAGCUGGAGUUUGUUUCUCUUAUUUGAGAUGAAACGGUUAAUGAGGAACCCAAGGAAGAAUGGUCAUUUCUCCAGAUGAAAGAAGUAUGUCAGAAGUAGAAAUGUACAUGAAGCCACCCUGGAGCUGAGACUUAAGUGAAGCUUGACCAAGAUUGCAUGGACAUGGUAGCAAUUUGGUCUUUGAAUAAGGUCUAGUUGAAACGCAAAUACAGAGAAGAAUGGAUAGAUGGAUGAUAGAUAGAUGUCAGAGGUCUAAUUUCAAUUGUGACUUGUGAUGGUUUGCCGUGCCUGAAAAAUUAAGUGAUUUCAAACUUAAAAUUUGCGGGUUUUGUUUCCUUAUUAUAUUAAGGUAAUUAAUGUAACAGGCAUGCCCUCAAAUCUCAAUAGUUUAACACCAUAAAAGUUUAAUUCUAUGGUCAGGUCAGAAUCUGAUGCUGAUAUUGCCUCUCCGCCGGGUAGUUCUCAUCCAAGAGGGAACUUGGGCCAAAUCACACGGAACAUGUGGUCUCCAGGAGUUCCCGUCAUGGCGCAGUGGUUAAGGAAUCCGACUAGGAACCAUGAGGUUGUGGGUUUGAUCCCUGCCCUUGCUCAAUGGGUUAACGAUCUGGCAUUGCCGUGAGCUGUGGUGUAGGUCGCAGAUGCGGCUCGGAUCCCGAAUUGCCGUGGCUCUGGCGUAGGCCGGUGGCUACAGCUCCGAUUGGACCCCUAGCCUGGGAACCUCCAUAUGCCACGGAAGUGGCCGAAGAAAUG
rnacentral:lncRNA from 1 species